UACAGAGGGUGCGAGCGUUAUUCGGAAUUACUGGGCGUAAAGCGCACGUAGGCGGCUUUGCAAGUCGGGUGUGAAAUCCCCGGGCUCAACCUGGGAACUGCAUCCGAGACUGCUUUGCUCGAGUAUGGGAGAGGGAAGUGGAAUUUCCGGUGUAGCGGUGAAAUGCGUAGAUAUCGGAAGGAACAUCAGUGGCGAAGGCGACUUCCUGGACCAAUACUGACGCUCAGGUGCGAAAGCGUGGGGAGCAAACAGG
rnacentral:rRNA from 1 species